GAGCCCCUCCCUCACACAAUUCUCAUAUCCCCCUCUUGGCUUCUCUCUUGUUUUGUAAACACUUUCUUCUUCUCUUUUGGUUUGGUUGCAUCAAGAGAAAGAAAGAAGCUCGCCUGCUCUUCCUCUAGUCCUCUUUAAUUGGAGUUGCAUCAAGGAAGAAGAAACUCUUAUUCUCUUUCACGUAGAUGGAAAAAUGAUCAUCUUCAUCACACUCUCUUGGCCGGAUCUUGUGAGUAGUAGUGUUGUAUGCUUCCUAAGGAUAUUUGAAGUGUAUUCCUGUGUGUUUGGUUUAUGAUGUUGACAAAAGGGAAAAGAAUGAAGAAAACACAGAGAAGAAACGUUUUGUUGCUCUCACGGGUUGCAUUUCUUUUGAAAGGAAAACAGAAAAAUUCUCUGUUUCGUGUGCUAUGUUUUAGCCCUUUCUCUAUAAGCUUUUGUCAUCAAUUGUGUGGAAAUCCUUUUAGAAGCAAAAAGAAGAUUUGAGGAUGAAGAGUAUCAGGACUAUCCAGAUGCUUAGAUGAAUCUGAGUAGCAGUCUUUUGAGGCUAGGUUGCCUCCUGUGUUGUGGUCUCCUGGAUGUGAUGGACUACCCUGCUUAGUCUAUCCUUUCAUGUACAUAUGUCAGACUCUUUUUAAAUGUCUCUUUGAUGCUACGAUAUUUUGGUAUUACUAAUACUUUAUUAAGUGCCGCUUGUAGCAUGUAUGUUAUUAUUGAGAUGUAUUCAUAUUAUUAAAACAAAGGUUAUUAAUUUAUAUAAUGAGGUUAUUCUA